AACGCACGAGACCUGCGGACCUGCGGAAGGAUCAUUAUAGAGUUUUCUAAACUCCCAACCCAUGUGAACUUACCUUUUGUUGCCUCGGCAGAAGUUAUAGGUCUUCUUAUAGCUGCUGCCGGUGGACCAUUAAACUCUUGUUAUUUUAUGUAAUCUGAGCGUCUUAUUUUAAUAAGUCAAAACUUUCAACAAUGGAUCUCU
rnacentral:misc_RNA from 1 species